CUAGGGGUGAGGAAACGCCAUUCUUAGAAUUCUGCUUAAUGAUGGCACCAAUAAUCGUAAGAUAAACAACGAAGCGUUACUGAGCCAUCUCGACGAGCCAAUCUCUGCCCUCAGCACUUUUCGUAUAUACCACUUUAUUCAACCCCCACAAAGGCACCAGAUGAAGGGACUAUUAUCGACUUCAUUUUGUCUAUGAAGGAAUCCUGGAGCAGGCCCCUCUUUGCACAUCCAUCAACCGAGACCCCGUCCCUUCGGCACACGUGGCCCAUGUAACACCCCCUAUAACAGGUGUCUUCCAAUGCUAUCCCAGAACCAAGUGCUGAGAAGCCAGCAAUGGCCAAAACUCAUUAGUGAGGAGUUGAGCACAUUUGUAGCUAAAAUGAUGGGUGUCGUGAACUUUCUGUGACCAGAGGGCUGGAUCAGAGGCAUCUGACCCCCAUCAGAGAGCAGCCACUUAGCACUAACCCACUCGCCGCUGGAGGCAGGCUGCUUUGCUGGGAAGAUGCUUCUUGUCUUCAACAGAAAACGGCAAGUGAUCUGUUGUCUGCUUGAAGGAAAUAAUUCCCCCAUCUGUCUUCAGCCCUAUUUGUUUCUCCAGCAAAUUAUUAUUCCUAAAUUCUACAUGCUUUCCAAGGUACUUAUUUUUGGAGCUGUCUUAAAGUCCGUUCUGGAUGGAGAAGGAGAUGAAUUACAACCCCCGAGAGAAAAAGAAUUUCUCUAUUUGGAAAAGGGUGAUGAAACAAAGGACCUCCACUUUGGACCUUCACUCGGGCUACCUAAAGCCGAGGUCUGUCGGUCUCUGCAAAAUGAGCGAAUCUGUAAGGAGCCCAACAAAGGAGAUUUUCUGCAUCAGAGAAAGACCCUUGCAUGCACAAAGCCCUCACCUGUCACCUAUUCUGGCCUCAGCUUUUCAUCUCAAACGCAUCUCCUGCAUUUUUGUUUAUCCAUUCACCCUUGUGCCCAUUCAGUCAGUCGCACAGGGGUCCCACAAUGUUCUACAUGACCUGGUGCUGGGGACACAGGGCCGACCCAGAGCAGAUCAGAGACACCUUUCCUCAUGGAUCUCCUCCUAGACAGAGGCUCCAACCUAUGUGCCUUCAAUUCCAAGGCCUCCUUCAAUUUCCUUUUCUCCACAGAUACAAAUAUUUAAAAUAUAGUGUAGCCAGAAUGCUAAGACAGCCCCCAAGAUUCCCACACACGUCCCACACAUUCUCUUUCCUUUCAGGGUGAGUGGAGUCUGUGAUCACAAUGGGUUCUCACUUCCACAGUGAAGUUAUAUUAUAUGGCACAAAGGGCUUUGCAGGUAGAAUUAAGGUUGCUGAUCAGCUGACGUUGAGUUAAUCAAAAGGGAGAUUAUACCAGGUGGGCCUGACCUAAUCAGGUGUGUCUCUAAAAGCAGUCGGAGAGAUUCAAAGCAUCAGAUUGUCCUUGUAUCCACGAGAAAGCAAACAUGUUGUGAACUGCCUGUGGCUGCAGCCACGUGGCAAGGACCUGAGGACAGUUUCCAGGAGCUGAGAGUGCCAGCUGACAGCCACCAAGAAAAUGGGGACUCAGCCCUACAACCACAGGGAACCGAAAUCUGACAAGAAUCAGUGAUAUAAGAAGAGGCCUCCGAGCCUCAAAUGAGACCACAGCCUCGUGUGACAUCUUGACUCAGCCUGGAAAGACCUCGGUGGAGGGGCUGGCCAACGCACCCCAGCACAUCUGAUCAACAAAACCGUGAAAUAAUAAAUAGGUGUCAUUUUAAGCCA